GCCUAACACAUGCAAGUCGAGCGGGAAAUCUCAAAUUGAAGCUUCGGCAGAAUUUUGAGAUGGAGAGCGGCGGACGGGUGAGUAACGCGUUAGUAACCUGCCCCCCAGCAUGGGAUAACACAUCGAAAGGUCUGCUAAUACCGUAUAACGUAUCUUUCCCGCAUGAUAGAGAUCCCAAAGAUUGAUCGCUGGGGGAUGGACUCGCGUCUGAUUGGCUUGUUGGAGGGGUAACGGCCCACCAAGGCGACGAUCAGUAGCCGAACGGGGAGGAUGAUCGGCCAAAUUGGGACUGAGACUCGGGCCAGACUCCUACGGGAGGCAGCAGUGGGGAAUAUUGCGCAAUGGGGGAAACCCUGACGCAGCAACGCCGCGUGAAGGAUGAAGGUCUUCGGAUUGUAAACUUCUGUCUUAUGGGAAGAAGAAAGUGACGGUACCAUAGGAGGAAGCCACGGCUAACUACGUGCCAGCAGCCGCCGCUGUAA
rnacentral:rRNA from 1 species